UUCAAGUUCUUUCCAUACCACUAAAGGACUAAGAUACGGAACAGUGACAGGAUCGGGACUUGGAAGGUGCCAUUCUAAACCUAAAGAAUCCUGUUGAAUAAAUAAAAACCAUAAAUGGGAAAUGCAAAAUAAUACUAAGCCAUUAAAAAAUUCAGUGAUUCCCAUAUGAGUAGAAAAGUAAUAUAAUUGUAUCAUGUAUGUGUAAAUAUAUGUUGUUAAAAUAUAGUUCCACAUAAUCAUAAUUACCUAUUUAGAUCAAAAUUCCCUUGAACAGAGAGAGCAGAUGUGUCAAGACCAGAGGCUGAUGUUGAAAUGCAAGACUGCCUCGUCUGACUUGAAAUGGAGGAUGGAAAGUGCAUAUUUUCUGUUG
rnacentral:lncRNA from 1 species